AACUGCUGGUUCAUGGAUUCU
rnacentral:miRNA from 1 species